rnacentral:rRNA from 1 species
UACGUAGGGGGCUAGCGUUGUCCGGAAUCAUUGGGCGUAAAACGCGCGUAGGCGGCCCGGUAAGUCCGCUGUGAAAGUCAAAGGCUCAACCUUUGAAUGUCAGCGGAUACUGCCGGGCUAGAGUCCGGAAGAGGCGAGUGGAAUUCCUGGUGUAGCGGUGGAAUGCGCAGAUAUCAGGAGGAACACCAACGGCGAAGGCAGCUCGCUGGGACGGUACUGACGCUGAGGCGCGAAAGCGUGGGGAGCGAACAGG